rnacentral:rRNA from 1 species
GAUGAACGCUGGCGGCGUGCCUAAUACAUGCAAGUCGAGCGAACGGAUAAGGAGCUUGCUCCUCUGAAGUUAGCGGCGGACGGGUGAGUAACACGUGGGUAACCUACCUAUAAGACUGGAAUAACUUCGGGAAACCGGAGCUAAUGCCGGAUAACAUUUGGAACCGCAUGGUUCUAAAGUAAAAGAUGGUUUUGCUAUCACUGCAGGAUGGGCCCGCGGCGCAUUAGCUAGUUGGUGAGGUAACGGCUCACCAAGGCGACGAUGCGUAGCCGACCUGAGAGGGUGACCGGCCACACUGGGACUGAGACACGGCCCAG